rnacentral:rRNA from 1 species
GAUUCUGGCUCAGGAUGAACGCUGGCGGCGUGCCUAACACAUGCAAGUCGAGCGAGAAACUCAUGACCAAUACUUCGGUAGCGUGAAUGAGCGGAAAGCGGCGGACGGGUGAGUAACGCGUAGGCAACCUGCCCCUUGCAGAGGGAUAGCCUCGGGAAACCGGGAUUAAAACCCCAUAAUGCGUCAUGGAGACAUCUUCGAGACGCCAAAGAUUUAUCGGCAAGGGAUGGGCCUGCGUCUGAUUAGUUAGUUGGUGGGGUAACGGCCUACCAAGGCAGCGAUCAGUAGCCGACCUGAGAGGGUGAUCGGCCACAUUGGAACUGAGACACGGUCCAAACUCCUACGGGAGGCAGCAGUGGGGAAUAUUGCACAAUGGGCGAAAGCCUGAUGCAGCAACGCCGCGUGAAGGAUGAAGGCCCUUGGGUCGUAAACUUCUGUUCUAAGGGAAGAUAAUGACGGUACCUUAGGAGCAAGUCCCGGCUAACUACGUGCCAGCCGCCGC